rnacentral:rRNA from 1 species
AUGCUCGCUAGCCCAAAUAAAAUGGAGUACGAUCGGCAUGGAUGCCUGAAGAGUGGGAACAGGCUGGGACGCUCCCAGAACUCUCUCCUCCGCCAACGGAUCAAGAUGCUUCGGCACAAGUAUCCACAUACGAAGAUCAUUGCCACCGAGUACUACAGACCCAUCCUAGCUUUUCUAGAUAUGCCAGGGCAUUUUGGACUGAACAACAGCACAACUCUCCUCACCUGUUGUGGUGCAGGAGGCCCUCCAUAUAACUACGACUUCAACACAGGGUGCGGCCUCCCGGGUGUGAAGGCGUGCACAGAUCCAUCUCAGGCGCUUCAGUGGGAUGGUUUCCACCUAACAGAGUCUGCCUAUAGGGCCAUCGCCGAUGGGUGGCUCCAUGGCCCCUAUGCGGAUCCAACGAUAAUGGACAUUGCACGCUAA